CCUACGGGUGGCUGCAGUGAGGAAUAUUGGUCAAUGGGCGUAAGCCUGAACCAGCCAAGUCGCGUGAGGGAUGAAGGUUCUAUGGAUCGUAAACCUCUUUUAUAAGGGAAUAAAGUGCGGUUCGUGUCCCCUUUUGUAUGUACCUUAUGAAUAAGGAUCGGCUAACUCCGUGCCAGCAGCCGCGGUAAUACGGAGGGUCCGUGCGUUAUCCGGAUUUAUUGGGUUUAAAGGGUGCGUAGGCGGCAUUUUAAGUCAGCGGGGAAAGUCUGUGGCUCAACCAGAGAAUUGCCGUUGAAACUGGGAGGCUAGAGUAUGUUAGAGGCAGGCGGAAUGCGUGGUGUAGCGGUGAAAUGCAUAGAUAUCACGCAGAACCCCGAUUGCGAAGGCAGCGUGCCAGGCCAUGACUGACGCUGAUGCACGAAAGCGUGGGGAUCAAACAGGAUUAGAUACCCUAGUAGUC
rnacentral:rRNA from 1 species